rnacentral:rRNA from 1 species
UACGAAGGGGGCUAGCGUUGUUCGGAAUACUGGCGUAAAGCGCGCGCAGGCGGUUCUCCAAGUCAGUGGUGAAAGCCCGGAGCUCAACUCCGGAACUGCCAUUGAAACUGUUGAACUUGAGGACGAGAGAGGUGAGUGGAAUUCCCAGUGUAGAGGUGAAAUUCGUAGAUAUUGGGAAGAACACCAGUGGCGAAGGCGGCUCACUGGCUCGUAUCUGACGCUCAGGCGGCGAUAGCCGUGGGGAUCAAACAGG